rnacentral:rRNA from 1 species
CCAAUAGCGUAUAUUAAAGUUGUUGCAGUUAAAAAGCUCGUAGUUGAAUUUCGAGACCGGUUUACUGGUCGUGCUUUUGUACGUACUGGUAUAAUCGGUUUCUCUCUUCUGACGAACUAUAAUGCCAUUAAUUUGGUGUUAUGGGAAAUCAGGACUGUUACUUUGAAAAAAUUAGAGUGUUUAAAGCAGGCUCACGCUUG